GACUUGGUGACAACCAGCCUUGCUCACGAAGCGUCAGCCGUAUCCUUUCUGUGUGCAGUGGGGUGUGGGUUGUGUGGAGCCGCGGUGUCUGUGGAAUUCACAGGCUGGGGCCGGAAUCCAUGGCCCCCGUCGCCGCUGCCACCCCCCAGGCAUUUGUUUUAUUGCUCUUUUUUCACCAACUCAAACUGAAUGGUCACCUUAACAGUUUUAUUGAGCCAACCUUUAUAAGCUGCAGGAAAUGGAUUUCCUACUCUCCACCUUCUGAUUGGGCUUGACCAACGGGGAGCACUGGCAGAAGACAAGCAUGGGAGGAAAAAGAGAUCAGGGCUGGAGUGCAGUGGCGUGAUCUCGGCUAGCUACAACCUCCACCUCCCAGCCGCCUGCCUUGGCCUCCCAAAGUGCCGAGAUUGCAGCCUCUGCCUGGCCGCCACCCCGUCUGGGAAGUGAGGAGCGCCUCUGCCCGGCCGUGACCCCGUCUGGGAACUGAGGAGUGUCUCUGCCCGACCGCCACCCCAUCUGGGAGGCCCAGCAUCCAAUUCAGUCGCCUUCAAGGAGUCUCUUCAGUCUAAUUUAUUCUAGAACAAUUCUUCAGGCUUCCCUUCUCUGGCCAAGAUUUUUGAAAAAUACAGGUCAAUGACUUUGUA
rnacentral:lncRNA from 1 species